rnacentral:rRNA from 1 species
AGCUCCAAUAGCGUAUAUUAAAGUUGUUGCGGUUAAAAAGCUCGUAGUUGGAUUUCUGUUGAGGACAGCCGGUCCGUACCUUGUGCGUGUAUCUGGUUUGGCCUUGGCAUCCUUCUGGGGAACGGCGCUGCGCUUGAUUGCGUGGUCCGGUAUUCAGAACUUUUACUUUGAGGAAAUUAGAGUGUUUACGGCAGGCAAUCGCCUUGAAUAUGUUAGCAUGGAAUAAUAAUAUAGGACACUGGUUCUAUUUUGUUGGUUUCUAGAACUAGUGUAAUGAUUAAUAGGGAUAAUUGGGGGCAUUCGUAUUAACACGUCAGAGGUGAAAUUCUUGGAUUGUGUUACGACGAACUACUGUGAAAGCAUUUGCCAAGGAUGUUU